UUUGUGUCUCUUCUGAAUUUUACACUGCAAUGAUUGACUUUGUGCUUUAUUGUAUAAAUGUCUUUUUUGUUCUUUAUCUAGGUCCUUGGACACAGCUUCCAGCAGUGAUCUGAGACCCAACCCCACUACACAGUUCUUGAAUGGCAGUCCCCAGUCCAUGGUUCACAGAAUACACCACCCUAUGAGCUCUCCCUGAAAAGGUACGAGUAAAGUUCACACUUGAUGGGAGAGACCGCUUCAGCCGUCUGUUCACAGAUUCUACCUUUUGGGUCAUCAGGUUCCACAGGGUCUUUUCCAACACGGAGUCACUGAGACGGGCAUCAACUUUCUCCAUCAGAAUUUUUGACACAGUUGCCUCUCCACCGCUGAACUUGAAAUCACUUGCAGCCUUAAAUGCACCUGUAUCUGAGUCGGCGACAAGCUUGUACACCUCCAGGCCGUCUUUUUUGAGGUUCUCCAGACUUUCAUAGCAGUAUGCUUGUUCAUUACCAAUUGAUGAGGCCAGAGGUUUCUUUUGACUUACCUCAGUGGUUCAUCUUUGGCCACCGGGGAAGGACGGAGCAGCCUGUGAGAAGAUGUCCGAUGUAAAGUGAAACUUCUGGAGGUACAACAUUUGUGUCCGCUGAAGGUCUGCGGGAUGCCUGCCAGUUAUCAAAAUGCUGGUAGACCAUGGUUUGCUCUAACCAUGAAACUUAGGGCCACCUCUUCCUCUUUGAAGAGCAAACCUCUUCCUCUUUGAAGAGCAAUGGCAUGUCUUGUGGUCAGGGCCUUUCCAUCCGCAAAAAUGGAGAUCACCGUCCAGAUCCAAAAAACUUUUUCGCUGGAUUCUAUCGCAAAAACAGCCUCUCCAUACCAGAUUUGAAGGAUUUCAACAAACCUGUCAAUGAGGGAGUGAGCUAUGCCCCCAAGAAGUUGACUCUUAAAUUGUGAAAUCCAAAAUACUGUGAUUAUGGAGACAUUUUUGGCCCUUAAUUACCAAAAUAAUAUGCGGACGUUUUUGUUUGGCAGUUGUGUUCGAAACUUUACAUAAACCUAGGUGUGUCCAAUUAGUGUGAA